rnacentral:rRNA from 1 species
AACGGGACGCCAUAGAGGGUGAGAGCCCCGUCUGGUUGGACACCGAUCCUCUGUAAAGCUCCUUCGACGAGUCGAGUAGUUUGGGAAUGCUGCUCUAAAUGGGAGGUAUAUGUCUUCUAAAGCUAAAUACCGGCCAGAGACCGAUAGCGCACAAGUAGAGUGAUCGAAAGAUGAAAAGAACUUUGAAAAGAGAGUUAAACAGUACGUGAAAUUGUUGAAAGGGAAGCGCUUGUGACCAGACUUGGGCUUGGUUGAUCAUCCGGGGUUCUCCCCGGUGCACUCUUCCGGC